CCUACGGGGGGCAGCAGUGAGGAAUAUUGGUCAAUGGGCGGAAGCCUGAACCAGCCAAGUCGCGUGAGGGAUUAAGGCCCUGCGGGUCGUAAACCUCUUUUGCCGGGGAGCAGAGGUCCGGACGUGUCCGGGCCGGGAGAGUACCCGGAGAAAAAGCACCGGCUAACUCCGUGCCAGCAGGCGCGGUAAUACGGAGGAUGCGAGCGUUAUCCGGAUUUAUUGGGGUUAAAGGGUGCGUAGGCGGGCAUUUAAGCCGGCGGUCAAAUGUCGGGGCUCAACCCCGGCCUGCCGUCGGAACUGGGUGCCUUGAGUGGGCGAGAAGUAUGCGGAAUGCGUGGUGUAGCGGUGAAAUGCAUAGAUAUCACGCAGAACCCCGAUUGCGAAGGCAGCAUACCGGCGCCCUACUGACGCUGAGGCACGAAAGUGCGGGUAUCGAACAGGAUUAGAUACCCCGGUAGUC
rnacentral:rRNA from 1 species